rnacentral:rRNA from 1 species
GUGGGGAAUAUUGGGCAAUGGGGGAAACCCUGACCCAGCAACGCCGCGUGAGGGAAGAAGGUUUUCGGAUUGUAAACCUCUGUCCUUGGUGACGAAGGAAGUGACGGUAACCAAGGAGGAAGCCCCGGCUAACUACGUGCCAGCAGCCGCGGUAAUACGUAGGGGGCAAGCGUUGUCCGGAAUGACUGGGCGUAAAGGGCGUGUAGGCGGCCGAUUAAGUCUGGAGUGAAAGUCCUGCUUUCAAGGUGGGAAUUGCUUUGGAGACUGGUUGGCUUGAGUGCGGAAGAGGUAAGUGGAAUUCCCAGUGUAGCGGUGAAAUGCGUAGAGAUUGGGAGGAACACCAGUGGCGAAGGCGACUUACUGGGCCGUAACUGACGCUGAGGCGCGAAAGCGUGGGGAGCGAACAGGAUUAGAAACCCUUGUAGUCC